rnacentral:rRNA from 1 species
GAUGAACGCUGGCUACAGGCUUAACACAUGCAAGUCGAGGGGAAACGACGGGGAAGCUUGCUUCCCCGGGCGUCGACCGGCGCACGGGUGAGUAACGCGUAUCCAACCUGCCUCUGACUGAGGGAUAACCCGUCGAAAGUCGGCCUAAUACCUCAUGGUAUCGUCUGCGGGCAUCCAACGACGAUUAAAGAUUUCAUCGGUCAGGGAUGGGGAUGCGUCUGAUUAGCUUGUUGGCGGGGUAACGGCCCACCAAGGCUACGAUCAGUAGGGGUUCUGAGAGGAAGGUCCCCCACAUUGGAACUGAGACAAGGUCCAAACUGCUACGGGAGGCAGCAGUGAGGAAUAAUGGUCAAUGGGCGAGAGCCUGAACCAGCCAAGUAGCGUGCAGGAAGACGGCCCUAUGGGUUGUAAACUGCUUUUAUGCGGGGAUAAAGUGAGGGACGUGUCCCUCAUUGCAGGUACCGCAUGAAUAAGGACCGGCGAAUUCCGU